AAGCUCGUAGUUGAAUUUCGGGACCAAUUUGUUGGUCGUGCCUCGGUACGUACUGGUAUUAUUGGUUUCUCCCUUCUGAAGAAUCUCGAUGCCAUUAAUUUGGUGUCGUGGGGAAUCAGGACUGUUACUUUGAGAAAAUUAGAGUGUUUAAAGCAAGCAUACGCUUGAAUACAUUAGCAUGGAAUAAUGAAAUAGGACGUUUGAUUCUAUUUUGUUGGUUUCUAGGAUCGACGUAAUGAUUAAUAGGGAUAGUUGGG
rnacentral:rRNA from 1 species